UACGUAGGGUGCGAGCGUUAAUCGGAAUUACUGGGCGUAAAGCGUGCGCAGGCGGUUCGUUGUGUCGGUGGUGAAAUCCCCGGGCUUAACCUGGGAAUGGCCAUGGAAACUGGCGAACUGGAGUGCGGCAGAGGGGGGUGGAAUUCCGCGUGUAGCGGUGAAAUGCGUAGAGAUGUGGAGGAACACCAGUGGCGAAGGCGACUCUUUGGCCUGUAACUGACACUGAGGCGCGAAAGCGUGGGGAGCAAACAGG
rnacentral:rRNA from 1 species